rnacentral:rRNA from 1 species
UCUAGUUAAGAUUGAGUUUUAGGUUGAUUCUGCCUAGGUUAUUUUUAGUUGAAUUGGUUGUAAAUUAGUAUUAAAUAUAAAUUUUUGUGUGUUAUUAGUUUGAUCUUAAUGGUAAAUUUUAUUUAUUUGUAGUUUUUAAUUUUGGUUUAUUAUGUAAAUGUAAAUCCAGCUAAUUUUUUAAGGGUUGUUUAAAGCUGUGCCAGCAUACGCGGUUAUACAGUUAACUCAAAUCAAUUAUUUUGGUUGAUUUAUUUUUAUGAUCUUUAAAUUGGGAUAAUUUUUUUUUUAUAAGGUGAAAUUUUUAAUUUUAAAU